GAUCCUGGCUCAGAUUGAACGCUGGCGGAAUGCUUUACACAUGCAAGUCGAACGGUAGAGGGGCAACCCCUUGAGAGUGGCGAACGGGUGAGUAAUAUAUCGGAACGUGCCCAGUCGUGGGGGAUAACGUAGUGAAAAUUACGCUAAUACCGCAUACGAUCUAGGGAUGAAAGCGGGGGGAUCGCAAGACCUCGCGCGAUUGGAGCGGCCGAUAUCAGAUUAGGUAGUUGGUAGGGUAAAGGCCUACCAAGCCAACGAUCUGUAGCUGGUCUGAGAGGACGACCAGCCACACUGGAACUGAGACACGGUCCAGACUCCUACGGGAGGCAGCAGUGGGGAAUUUUGGACAAUGGGCGAAAGCCUGAUCCAGCCAUUCCGCGUGCAGGAUGAAGGCCCUCGGGUUGUAAACUGCUUUUGUACAGAACGAAAAGGUCUCUAUUAAUACUAGGGGCUCAUGACGGUACUGUAAGAAUAAGCACCGGCUAACUACGUG
rnacentral:rRNA from 1 species